ACGAUCACAGAAGUUAAACAAUGUCGAGCCUGGCCAGUACCUAGAUGGGUGACCACUUGGGAAUACCAGGUGCU